rnacentral:misc_RNA from 1 species
UCCUUAAGCUCAACAAACUUUUCCUCAUGGGAUUCUGAAGUCUUCACAUACUUUACACUGUCUCUGAUUUUCUUAACAACAUCCCUCCCAGCCCAUAGCACAUCCUUUGCAAUGCUGCUUAGAGUACGUGCAAUGCAAUUCCCAAUCAAUAAUUGACCAUUAAGAAUAAGGGGAUUUUUUAUGCAAAGCAGAGAUCUAAGAUUUUCAAGGCCAGGUUCACCCACUGGACGAUUGUAUGUAACAGAAAAUAGCUUGCCU